CCCGGGGGGGAAUUUGCCCUCAGUAACGGCGAGUGAAGCGGCAAGAGCUCAACUUUGGAAUCGCUCCGGCGAGUUGUAGUCUGGAGGUGGCCACCACGAGGUGUUCUAGCAGCAGGCAAGUCCUUUGGAACAAGGCGCCAGCGAGGGUGACAGCCCCGUACCUGCUUUUGCUAGUGCUUCCUGUGGCCCACCGACGAGUCGAGUUGUUUGGGAAUGCAGCUCUAAGUGGGUGGUAAAUUCCAUCUAAGGCUAAAUAUUGGCGAGAGACCGAUAGCGAACAAGUACAGUGAUGGAAAGAUGAAAAGCACUUUGAAAAGAGAGUGAAACAGUACGUGAAAUUGUUGAAAGGGAAGGGCUUGCACCCAGACACGGUUUCGGCCGGGCCAGCAUCAAGUAGAACGGGGUUAAAAGACUUGGGGAAUGUAGCUACUUCGGUAGUGUUAUAGCCCUUGGUGAUGACCCCUGUUUUGCUUGAGGACAGCGGUCUCUAGGAUGCUGGCGCAAUGGUUGCAAGCCACCCGUCUUGAAACACGGACCA
rnacentral:rRNA from 1 species